UUUUUUUUUUUUUUUUUUAGACAGAAUCUCACUCUGUCACCCAGGCUGGAGUGCUGUGUUGCGAUCUUGUCUCACUGCAACCUCUGCCUCCCAGGUUCAAGCAAUUUUCCUGCCUCAGCCUCCUGAGUAGCUCCGGGGCCUGUUAGAAAGUGAAAUUCUUUACUGAUCACAGGUCAGGAACCCUGCAUGAGGACUGUGUAGAAAAGGGUAUAAGGCCAGUUGCUCCAAGGGGCUUUUAUCGGUUCUUCAAGUUGAGCUUGACUCCUUAAAGGGAAGUGUACCCUUCCAGUCAAAGCCUUGGUAAAACAACCAGUUUCUCUAAUUGCAUCCUGUUGAAAAAUGAAAUGUAUUCUUUUUGCACUGAUGCAAACAAUUGUAUUUCCAUAAGUUAAGAAUACUCACAGAUAGUUUCAAAAUUCUAGAAGAAGCAGGCAGGGAGAAGCAAACAUGCUCCAGAUUUUUAUCUUGGGGCCUUAAGAGGAGAGGAUCACUCAACUCACAGGUAUUAGAGGACACAAACCCAAUCUUGGGCUUGGCUUUAAAAGGUCUUAUCUGAGAUUCAUUGUGGAACAGAUUUCCAUUAAAGACAAUCCAAAAGGCACAUGUAGAAAUAGUUAUUUUUGCUGUGCUUUAUGCAAAUAAUCAAUGGAUGUAUAAACUAAAGUCUAUUUUGCAAACAACACAGUCCUAUAAUGAUUUUUUUUAACAAAAAUGAGACUAGAGAGAAAAAUUAUGUUUCAAAAGUUAUCAUACAUUUUUCAUUAAAUUCUAAACUCAUUAGAUGUUUUUAAGUUUUUUUCCUAUAUUUUAGACUAACCCUGAUUGUUUCUGUGAACCAACCUGCAAUCUCCAGCUGCAGCUCAGAAAGAACAAGAGGGAUGGGUAAUGUGGUAAUCUGGAUCAAUAUUCUAGUUCUGAGUAAUUAUCCUGCAAAUUCUGCCACAUGAUAGGAACAAGUAGGGUGCCCAUCACCCGGAGAUUUCCUUUUUGGGAAAGUAAAACCACGGGAGUUAACCAAAGCCAAGCAUCUUGUAACAAAAUCUUAGCAAAUAUUACUACAGCCACCAGUGAUCUGGGCAUGUCAGAAGACAUCCUUUUCUCUCCUUUAUUGGAGAAGAACUCAAUUCCAAGCUUCAGGUGAAAGCCCUAGGAAAGAAAGCUGGAUUUAAGUAAUCCAGAGUCAGAUGGUAAUAGAGGUUGAAAUGCACAGCACACGUGACCAUGGCUAAUUCCUGCCAAUUAAGCCAAGCCUCCCAUUUCAUGGAUGAAAGUCAUGCUGGUAUCCGUGACAUAAAUUAGGUCUUGGAAACUCUAAGGCUACUUACAGUGGAGAGAAUAGAGGCAUAGGUAAGAGUGGGUAAUUCCUAUUGUCUAGGCCCUCUCUGCUUCAUGGGUGCAAGCCACUUUGGGACCCAUGGGUAGCACCCUGUCACAGUUGCUGGGAGUUGGCAAUACAAGGAUGGAGGAAAGAAAGAGGAACGUCUCAUUUUUCCUUUCUCACACACCCUGGGUAUUUUCUAGGAAAUAGUGUAACCAUCCAUCUUCAGUCUGUACCCCUUUCGAAUGCAUCCUGAACUCUUAGAACUCCUUUGAAUAAAAUGCCUUCUUUUUUCCUUUCUCCUCCUCUUCCCUUUCUUCACUGAUAGGAUUGUGUCUGGGUACUACAGGAUAUUCCCCUUAGAUGGAUCCUCCAAACUGGGAAAAGUUAAUUUCCCACACCUUAAACUGGUUGGCUUAGGAUUGGGCUUAGGGGAAGGGAACACAGAAGCCUGACAUGCUGGCAAAAGGAUAAAACUUUUUUACCAGUCGAGGUUUUGGCCUCCCUCUCUCCAUGGCAAAGUGAUAAAAGGCCUCAGGAUUUUUGAGCUGUCCUUACCUCUCCUCUUGUUUCAUUUUGAUUCAUGUUUUCUAAUGACCUGUUUUGUCUCUUCUCAUCUUCAGGCCAUCAAACUCCAAACAGUCAUGCAACCAGAGCCUCAAAUGAUUGCCCUUUCUGCUAGGGACCCUUAGAUAGGCCUAUGAGGGAGCUCUGAAUACCAUUGUCCCAAAAACAGCGCCCCCCAUCAGCAGGAAGGGGUUAAGACUGUUCUUUAUUUUUAUCCUUAUCCUUAUUCCAAUUGGCAGUUAGAUGUACUUCUUUAGAGGGAUUAAUGAGACUGCCAAGUAAAAAGGGUUCCCUGGAGAAUCUUUAGCCAGCCUGAGCACUGGGAGAAUGGGGUGAAGCUUUGGAAAGUUCACACCAUUUGCUGGGGAGAGGAGCCUGGCCUCUCUUGUUCUUGGG
rnacentral:lncRNA from 1 species